rnacentral:rRNA from 1 species
UACGAAAGGGGCUAGCGUUGCUCGGAAUCACUGGGCGUAAAGGGUGCGUAGGCGGGGCUUUAAGUCAGGGGUGAAAUCCUGGAGCUCAACGCCAGAACUGCCUUUGAUACUGAAGAUCUUGAGUUCGGGAGAGGUGAGUGGAACUGCGAGUGUAGAGGUGAAAUUCGUAGAUAUUCGCAAGAACACCAGUGGCGAAGGCGGCUCACUGGCCCGAUACUGACGCUGAGGCACGAAAGCGUGGGGAGCAAACAGG